UACGUAGGGUGCGAGCGUUAAUCGGAAUUACUGGGCGUAAAGGGUGCGCAGGCGGUUAUAUAAGACAGAUGUGAAAUCCCCGGGCUCAACCUGGGAACUGCGUUUGUGACUGUAUAACUAGAGUACGGUAGAGAGGGGUGGAAUUCCUGGUGUAGCAGUGAAAUGCGUAGAUAUCAGGAGGAACAUCGAUGGCGAAGGCAGCCCCUUGGACCUGUACUGACGCUCAUGCACGAAAGCGUGGGGAGCAAACAGG
rnacentral:rRNA from 1 species